rnacentral:tRNA from 1 species
GGUUCCCUAGUCUAAAGGUUAGGACGCAGCCCUUUCAAGGCUGAGAUGCUCGGUUCGAGUCCGGCGGAGAUCA